CAGCUCUGCAAAUCCAACGGCAUCCAGACAACAGCUCUGCCAAACAGCUGAACCUCGAAAACCUCACGCAGGGCAUGCCGCCACAUGCCACCAUUAUCUUAAAGUCUCUACAAUGAAACUGACAUUUUUCAUGGAAAUUAACCCUCAGGGGUCCAUGGACUCGCUGUCAAGUCCACAU